AAAAAUUCCCAAACCCUCCAAAACCCCUAAAACCAAAAAUCUCUCAAUUCUUCCGUUUCCCUCUGAAAUAUUAAAAAUUGUUAUUGUUCUAUUUUCAUCAAUUCAAAUUUUAAUUCUUCAGAUCUCUGAUUCAAUUCAUGGACUCGCCUUCCCUUGAGGAUCACGCUCGAAUCGCUAUUGCCGGAGAGACGUCUAUUAGAAGGGACACUUUUACAGAACAGCCUCUUUCGCCCAAAGAUGAAAGGAUUGUUUCAGCAAAUCCUUCUCCGGAUGCAGCCAUCAUAGGGCCAUCAAGAGAUGUUACAGACCAACCACAAUCUUCUGAUGCUGGUGGAGAUCUUAGUAUUCUACCUCCGCACAAUACUUAUGCUUCACAUGAACAGAUGUUAUCAUAUGGCAGUUAUGGCAAUAGUGCCAGUGCUUGGGAUGGAUAUCCUCAGUAUCUUAAUGCUGCUGAUGGCAUGCAUAUAUCUCCGGUUGUCUACAAUGAUAAUCCCUCUCUCAUGUUUCAUUCUGGUUAUGGCUUCAAUCCUGAGAUGGCAUAUGGGCAGUAUUCUCCAGUUGCUACACCUUUGCCUUCUAUAAUGCUAGAAAGCCCGUUAUACUCUCCGAAGCAGAUCCCAUUUUCACCAUCUUUCUAUCCACAACAUGCUCCUCCCAAUGUGCCUUCAUCAGUUCCUGUUUCUUCAUCUGAGCUCAUGACAUCAGAUUGUAAUACUGAUAACUCGCGUUUUGGGCCAGGAUCUGGUUACUUGGUACAGUUUGGAUCGUUUGGUGGAGGGAACAUGUCUGGGAUACCUGGCUCUGGCCCAUUAACAUCCCCAGCAGUAUAUCCUCAACCAAUGGGUAUACUUGGGCCAUAUGAACACCAUAUGCAACAGAUUUCUCAACAAAGAUUGCAUGGAUAUGGACUAACAUCAACUUCCUCUGUUGGACGCUACCAGCAUGGUGGCUCUUUUCAGAGCUCCAAUAUUGGCAGUGGUUCUGUUUCUUAUCCGGGGGUUUAUGAUCGGGUGCAGCUUUCUCUUGAUAAGGGUAGAAGAAGAGAGAGGGAUCAGGAUUCAGUUUACACUUCUAAUGAUUCUUUUAGUUUUGACCGUAAUCGAGGACCAAGGGCUUCAAAGAUUAAGGGCAAGACGACUGAACAGAGCUCUCAAUUUGGUAAUGGCAAAGAUGAUUCAUCUAGCUCUCAAUUUCAGCUAGAUUUGUACAAUAGGCCAGAUUUUGUCUCUGAUUAUGAGAAUGCCAAGUUCUUUGUAAUAAAAUCUUUCAGUGAAGACAAUGUCCAUAAAAGCAUUAAGUACAGUGUGUGGGCCAGCACGCCGCAUGGAAAUAAAAAACUAGAUGCUGCAUAUCACGAGGCAAAGGAGAAUGGAAGCAACUGUCCGGUCUUUCUGUUGUUUUCGGUCAAUGCUAGUGGGCAGUUCUGCGGGAUAGCUCAAAUGGUUGGACCUGUCGAUUUUGACAAAGAUGCUGAUUACUGGCAACAAGACAGAUGGAGUGGUCAGUUCCCAGUUCAGUGGCAUAUUAUCAAAGAUGUUCCUAACCGUCAAUUCCGACACAUACUACUAAAAAAUAAUGAUAACAAGCCUGUCACUCAUAGUCGGGAUGCUCAGGAGGUGAAACUGGAACAAGGUAUUGAAAUGUUGAGAAUUUUCAAGGAACACUCUGUGCACACAUCUAUUCUAGAUGAUUUUGGUUUUUACAAUCAGCGGGAGAAAGCUUUAAAGGAAAGGAGGGCCAAACAAGCAGCAAAUCUGACUGCAGAUACUUCAUGUCUACUUGCUGAUGAUACUGUAAAUCAAAUAUCUGGUAGUUUUGCCCAAAAUCUCCACUUGGAAGAUGGUAGUAAAGAAACAUCAGCAAUGGUAGCGAAUUGUAGCUCAACUCCUGAUUGUGGAGUUUAAUCUACUAAUGAUCUGAACACUGAGCUUUCAUUUGUUGAGAAUUCCAUUAGUCAUAGCUUGUCAAAAACUUUGAAUUUAGAAGAGGGCAACAAGGUUCUGGCUCCCGCUUUGGAUGGUAAGCACGAGGGUUAAGGCUGUCGAUAAGCGGACCACAGGUUGUAUUAACAGAGUGGAGUUGGCUUGUAGUUGAUGCUUCUGUGCCAGAUGUUGGGAGGUUGGUCAGGCCAGGAAGUCAACAGUUUUAGUAUCUCACUAAUUUGGUAUUAAAUGUUUGAUUUUCUUUGGAUUUCUUUUUCGGAUGCUAAAACUGGCUGCAGAAUGUGGGGGUAGAUUGCAUACUAUUGUGCUUGAUGCCUAAUUUGGAUGUAAUUUUAGGUUCUGUAGUUUUCUCAGGACUCUUGGCUAGUGGAAAAGAUUUGUAGAGUUGCCCCCUUUUUGGGUAACAAAAUUAUAAUAAUUAAAAGGAGAAAAAUUGCAAAAAUUGUCUUUUUGAAUUUUCA
rnacentral:misc_RNA from 1 species